rnacentral:rRNA from 1 species
UACGAAGGGUGCAAGCGUUAAUCGGAAUUACUGGGCGUAAAGGGUGCGUAGGCGGUUCGUUAAGUCUGUCGUGAAAUCCCCGGGCUCAACCUGGGAAUGGCGAUGGAUACUCGCGAGCUAGAGUGUGUCAGAGGAUGGUGGAAUUCCCGGUGUAGCGGUGAAAUGCGUAGAGAUCGGGAGGAACAUCAGUGGCGAAGGCGGCCAUCUGGGACAACACUGACGCUGAAGCACGAAAGCGUGGGGAGCAAACAGG